rnacentral:rRNA from 1 species
UACCAGCACCCCGAGUGGUCGGGACGAUUAUUGGGCCUAAAGCAUCCGUAGCCGGCCUUACAAGUCCUCCGUUAAAUCCAGCUGCUUAACAGAUGGGCUGCGGAGGAUACUAUAAGACUAGGAGGUAGGAGAGGCAAGCGGUACUCAGUGGGUAGGGGUAAAAUCCGUUGAUCCAUUGAAGACCACCAGUGGCGAAGGCGGCUUGCCAGAAUGCGCUCGACGGUGAGGGAUGAAAGCUGGGGGAGCAAACCGG